rnacentral:lncRNA from 1 species
UAUAUAUAUAGAAUUGAGCUCCUAUGCUUUUAAAAGUACCAAGUUAUUGGUGCUUGUAAGUUUUCGGCCCUUGGAUUAAAGGAUGUGCGGUUAGAAUGAUGUGGGCUCCCUAGGGUUGAGUGGGCGGUUGGUUGAAUAGUAUAAUAUUCUAACGGAUAAAAAUGAUCAAAGGCAUAGAUUUAACGGUAAAAAAUUUAUAAGCACCAAGUGUUUGGUACUUUUACAAGUGCCAUAACCGGACUCAUAUAUAUAUAUAUAUAUAUAUAUAUAUAUAUAUAUAUAUA